AGCAGCGGCGGCAAAGAGCGGGAGAAAGGAGCAAUGGGCGCUACCAGAGGGCAUUGAGGAGAGAAAAGGGACCCGGCUGGAGACCUCUGCCAGCCUGUGCCAAGAGCGGCAGGCCAUUGUGUUUUGAGCCUGGGGCUGAGAUUCACUAGACUGAAUGAUUAGCUUGGAGGGAAAAAAAAAGGCUUACUGAGACCUGAUAACACUGCAGGAUCCAUAAAUAUACUUUAAGAACCAAAGGAGAGUGAAUAAAUUGGCAAUGAGAUUGAUCCACAAUGGGCCAGAGAAGAUGGAUGAACAUAUUUCUUUAAUGUUUUAAUUUACAAAAGUGCUACUUUCCUUCCAACAAGCAAUUAGUGAUUAUAAAUGGUAUUGCAUGACAUAUCAGCCCCUGAAGCAGAAGAGAAUAAAGAGAGAUAUAGUCUAAUCUUGAACCAAAAAAAAUUUGAAAGGUGUCAAAGUUCCUGUAACUAGGGCCACUGAUCCACUUUCAUAGUGUGAUGAUGAGAAGGUGGGUAGGUUUCCCAGACCCAAUACCUUGAACAUUUAAAUUCCUGACUUUCUUCCCAAGACAGCAGCCCUACUAGAAGAUAAUGGUAGGGAAUGAAUCUUGUCAGAGCCAGCUGAAGAAAAGUAUGGGGCUAAGCACCAAAUCUGAACCACUUUAGUUUAGAAGUUUAGUUUAGUUUAGCAGAUAUACUUGGAAGAACUAUUGACAUUGAACUCUCCUGGAUCCAGUGAUUUCUAAAUUUCACUAAUACUUUGAUCUCAUUUCUUGAUACUACCCAUGAGAUUUCCUGGGUACUACUUUGAACUAAGGAGUAGGAUUCUUCACCCUUGUCCUGAUAUUUGACUUCCAACUCACCACGUUUACAGAUUGUCUUACCACUAUCCUCAUCUUGCCCAUAAUGUUAAACCCCUUGUAACCUGGAUGGUGACUGAAAUUUUGUAACCCUCCAUUGAUACUACAGACACCUAGACCAUAUCUAACAAUGGGUUUAACACUG